CGCCCAGUACCGAACCCGGCUCUGCAAGGAUGAAACUGGGUGUAGUAGGAAAGUUUGUUUCUUCGCCCACAGGCCUGAAGAAUUGCGGCCUUUGUAUGCUUCCACAGGCUCAGCCAUGCCUUCACCAAGGUCUCUUUCAGCUUCUGCAGUGGACAUGGCGACACUGAGUCCAUUGACCCUUGGUUCAUCUGCCUUGCUACUGCCGCCUACUUCGUCGUCUUUGCUGUUGCCUCCCACCUCAACACCGCCCAUGUCUCCAUCUGCGGUCUCUUCAUCGCCGAAGAGCUCCGGUAUGUGGCAGAACAAGGUUAACUUCACCCCACCUAGCCUGCAGCUACCGGGUAGCAGGCUGAAGUCUGCUUUGAGUGCUAGAGAUUUGGAGUUGGAGUUGGAGCUGCUGGAGCUGGAAAGUCAGCUUACCCACAAGCAAUUGAUGGAUGAGAUGUCUAGUCUCUCCUCUCCAUCCUGCUGGAAUAAGGAAUUCAGUAGGAUCGGAGAACUGAAGCCUACUAAUCUUGAUGAUAUGUUUGGAUCUUUUGAUCCUUCGGUAUUGUCUCAGUUGCAGGGACUCUCACUGAAAGCCACAACCCCCCAGCUGCAAUCUCCUCAAUUGCAAUCCCCAACUGGGCUUCAGAUGCGGCAGAACAUGAACCAACAGCGGGCGAGCUACCCGACCAAGACCACUGUCACCUCCUCUCCAGUGAGGAAAACCUCCUCAUAUGGGUUUGAUUCAUCAGCUGCAGUAGCAGCAGCAGUGAUGAAUUCAAGGUCUUCUGCUUUCGCAAAGCGCAGCCAGAGCUUCAUCGAUAGGGGAGGUAUGAGCCAUCGCUCACCUGGGUUCACUGCAGCUUCUAAUUCUGCAACCUUGAUGUCAUCCAAUCUUUCUGACUGGAGCUCCCCUGAUGGGAAACUGGAUUGGGGCAUUCAAGGAGAUGAACUCAACAAGCUGAAGAAGUCUGCCUCUUUCGGAUUCCGAACCAACAACACUGCAACAGCAACACAAUCCAUGAUGGCCUCAACUGAUGAACCAGAUGUAUCUUGGGUUAAUUCCCUAGUCAAGGAUGUUCCUGCUGUCUCAUCUGGGCUGUUUGGUUCCCAGCAACGGCCAUACGGCAUUGGGGUUCAUGAGAAGCUCCCUCCAUGGGUGGAGCAAAUGUACAUAGAACAGGAGCAGAUGGUGGCUUAAGCCAACAUAUCUGCUGCAACUAUCCUCCAUUAUCAUCCUGACAAGUUUGAUAUCUUCAGAAUUCUUAUAAGGUAUUCAACAUUUGUAUGUAGCAUUAGAGAAAGGGAAAAGGGUAGAAAAACAAACCGCAGAACAAGAAAGAUUGAUGGCUCUCAGCUCAUGUAGGAAUAGGAUUAUGAUCAAGGGAAAGCCCAGAUGAAGCAAAGAAGCAGAAAGGAUUAUUUUUCUUUUCUUUUCUUGUCUUUUUUAUAAAUAUUUUUUCAAUUUUUCUCCCU
rnacentral:lncRNA from 1 species